CCUACGGGGGGCAGCAGUGAGGAAUAUUGGUCAAUGGGCUUACGCCUGAACCAGCCAAGUCGCGUGAGGGAAGACUGCCCUAUGGGUUGUAAACCUCUUUUGUCAGGGAGCAACGCCGGCUACGUGUAGCCGGACUGAGAGUACCUGAAGAAAAAGCAUCGGCUAACUCCGUGCCAGCAGCCGCGGUAAUACGGAGGAUGCGAGCGUUAUCCGGAUUUAUUGGGUUUAAAGGGAGCGUAGGUAGAUUGUCAAGUCAAGGGUGAAAUCCCCGCGCUCAACGUGGGAACUGCCUUUGAAACUGGCAAACUGGAGUGUGUGAGAGGAUAGUGGAAUUCCAGGUGUAGGAGUGAAAGCCGUAGAUAUCUGGAGGAACAUCAGUGGCGAAGGCGACUAUCUGGCACAUAACUGACGCUGAGGAGCGAAAGCGUGGGUAGCAAACAGGAUUAGAUACCCUGGUAGUC
rnacentral:rRNA from 1 species